CUCAGAUCAGAAGAGUCAUUUACCGUUGACCGUGACUCACUGCUCUCAACUGAGCUGUGGACAAUGAGUUCCCAGGACUGGAAGGCGGGAGCAUAGGCUCUGUACCUCUAAGAAGCCCCAACAAGCUGAAUGGAAUUUUGACAGAUGGCAGAGGAAGCGGCAACACUUACCAGAAACUGGACUCGAACCAUCCUAUUGUUAAGAGUAUGAAGAUACUACAAGACUUAUCCUAGAGUGUCUUCCAUAUUGUAGACUAUUAAUAAAUGCCUGUGGGGUUGAGAACAUCUGAGCUGGUGUCCCUAAGUUGGCCCUUAUGCUGAAACCAUAGAGUGGACUGUCUUGCUGAUGGAUUAGAGCCAGGGGACUCAUGCGUCAGGUGGUGCUGCAGACUACCUGAGAUGUCAGGCAUGGAGCACAGCAAAGAGCAACGACGGCCCCAUCACGAACUCAGCAACAGCUGCUGCCUUGAUGACACUUCCUGAGCGCUUCCACAUUCUGGCCAGAGAGCCCGGUCAAAGGCUGCAAGGGCGAUGGACCCGGGCAGGCUUUUCCCCUCAGAAUCACAAAGUUAGAAUGGGCUAUCGAGAUCAACCAGCCAACCCACAGCUGAACAGAAAUCUCUUCCACCAUAGCCCUAAAAAAGUUGUUUUUCUGGUCUCCCCAUGAACACCUCCAGUGAUACGGAGCUCAUUGCCCUCGAAAGCAGUCCGUUCUGCUUUUGAACACCUCUAAUGUGGGGCAGGUUUCCCUAACAUCAAGUUAAUCUGGGUCCCAGAGAGCAGAACUAACAACAAUGGGUAGAAACCGUAGAGAGGCAGAGGAGAAAGAGGAGAAUCUCUUGUCGCCUAUACCAACUCUUCUUCCGUGUCCUAAACAUUAUUUUUCCAGGUAAUCUUCUUAUGGCAGCUAGGUGGCACCAUAGUGUAUAAAGCACUGGGCUUAGAGUCAAGAAGACCUGAAUUUAAAGAUGGCCUUAGACAUUCACUAGAUGGGUGAUCCUAAGUAAUUUUCUUAACCGCUGUUUGCCUCAGUUUCCUCAUUUGUAAAAUGAGGAUAAUAAUAGCACCUACAUCCAGGGUUGUUGUGGGGAUC